GUGGGGAAUCUUCCGCAAUGGACGAAAGUCUGACGGAGCAACGCCGCGUGAGUGAUGAAGGUCUUCGGAUUGUAAAGCUCUGUUAAUCGGGACGAAAGAGCCUAGUGUGAAUAAUGCUAGGAAGUGACGGUACCGGAAUAGAAAGCCACGGCUAACUACGUGCCAGCAGCCGCGGUAAUACGUAGGUGGCAAGCGUUGUCCGGAAUUAUUGGGCGUAAAGCGCGCGCAGGCGGAUCUGCCAGUCUGUCUUAAAAGUUCGGGGCUUAACCCCGUGAUGGGAUGGAAACUACAGAGCUAGAGUAUCGGAGAGGAAAGUGGAAUUCCUAGUGUAGCGGUGAAAUGCGUAGAUAUUAGGAAGAACACCAGUGGCGAAGGCGACUUUCUGGACGAAAACUGACGCUGAGGCGCGAAAGCCAGGGGAGCGAACGGGAUUAGAAACCCCAGUAGUCC
rnacentral:rRNA from 1 species